rnacentral:rRNA from 1 species
AGAGUUUGAUCCUGGCUCAGAACGAACGCUGGCGGCAGGCCUAACACAUGCAAGUCGAACGAUGCCUUCGGGCAUAGUGGCGCACGGGUGAGUAACACGUGGGAACAUAUCUUUCGGUGGGGGAUAACUUCGGGAAACUGAAGCUAAUACCGCAUACGCCCCUUGGGGGAAAGAUUUAUCGCCGAAAGAUUGGCCCGCGUCCGAUUAGCUAGUUGGUGAGGUAAUGGCUCACCAAGGCUCCGAUCGGUAGCUGGUCUGAGAGGAUGACCAGCCACACUGGGACUGAGACACGGCCCAGACUCCUACGGGAGGCAGCAGUGGGGAAUAUUGGACAAUGGGCGCAAGCCUGAUCCAGCCAUGCCGCGUGAGUGAUGAAGGCCUUAGGGUUGUAAAGCUCUUCACCCACGACGAUGAUAACGGUAGUGGAGAGAG